rnacentral:rRNA from 1 species
CCUACGGGUGGUAGCAGUGGGGAAUAUUGGACAAUGGGCGCAAGCCUGAUCCAGCAAUACCGCGUGUGUGAAGAAGGCCUUAGGGUUGUAAAGCACUUUCAAUGGGGAGGAAAACCUGCCGGUCAAUACCCGGUAGCUUGACAUUACCUAUAGAAGAAGCACCGGCUAACUCCGUGCCAGCAGCCGCGGUAAUACGGAGGGUGCGAGCGUUAAUCGGAAUUGCUGGGCGUCAGGUGGUCGUAGCAGGCUCGAAAGCCCUGGGCUUAACCUGGGAACUGCAUUUGAAACUGGCGAGCUAGAGUUGAGUAGAGGGGAGUGGAAUUUCAGGUGUAGCGGUGAAAUGCGUAGAUAUCUGAAGGAACACCAGUGGCGAAGGCGACUCCCUGGACUCAAACUGACGCUGAGGUACGAAAGCGUGGGUAGCAAACAGGAUUAGAUACCCCUGUAGUC